GGCUACUUAGUUUUAAGUUAAAAUAUUGGUUUUGUAAGCCAGGGAUGGAUUAAUUAUCUGCUAGCCU
rnacentral:tRNA from 1 species